rnacentral:rRNA from 1 species
UACGGAGGGGGCGAGCGUUAUUCGGAUUUACUGGGCGUAAAGGGCUCGUAGGUGGCCAAUUAAGUCAGACGUGAAAUCCCCAGGCUCAACUUGGGAACUGCGUCUGAUACUGGUUGGCUUGAAUUCGGGAGAGGGAUGCAGAAUUCCAGGUGUAGCGGUGAAAUGCGUAGAUAUCUGGAGGAAUACCGGUGGCGAAGGCGGCAUCCUGGACCGAGAUUGACACUGAUGAGCGAAAGCCAGGGGAGCAAACGGG